rnacentral:rRNA from 1 species
AUUGAACGCUGGCGGCAGGCUUAACACAUGCAAGUCGAGCGGGGUGAUGUAGCUUGCUACAUUACCUAGCGGCGGACGGGUGAGUAAUGCUUAGGAAUCUGCCUAUUAGUGGGGGACAACAUUCCGAAAGGAAUGCUAAUACCGCAUACGCCCUACGGGGGAAAGCAGGGGAUCUUCGGACCUUGCGCUAACAGAUGAGCCUAAGUCGGAUUAGCUAGUUGGUGGGGUAAAGGCCUACCAAGGCGACGAUCUGUAGCGGGUCUGAGAGGAUGAUCCGCCACACUGGGACUGAGACACGGCCCAGACUCCUACGGGAGGCAGCAGUGGGGAAUAUUGGACAAUGGGCGAAAGCCUGAUCCAGCCAUGCCGCGUGUGUGAAGAAGGCCUUUUGGUUGUAAAGCACUUUAAGCGAGGAGGAGGCUACUUGGAUUAAUACUCUAGGAUAGUGGACGUUACUCGCAGAAUAAGCACCGGCUAACUCUGUGCCAGCCGCCGCGGUAAAAC